rnacentral:lncRNA from 1 species
CUUCCCAUUAGGACUCUGAGCUCCAGAAGGCCAGCGUCCGUGCUUAUCUUGCUCAUCAUUUUACCCAAAGUGUCUAGCCUUGUACUAAAUGUUCACUGGAAGAAAUAAUGAAGUUUGCUCACACAUUCAUAAACAUGUACGUGUAUAUACGUUUAUUCAUACACAUCCACACAUGAGAGCAUGAACAGAUGGGAAUCAGAAAAAGGGGACCAUCUGGAAUGUGGCUAAAAAUGGAAUGAUGCCACCUCAGGUGUCUGAAUGGGAACACUGGUGUUUGCGUGUAGGAGGAGAUAACUUGAAAUCUAGUAGCCUGGUGAAAGGAAGUUAGCAGAACUGAUAUGGACUGGGAUGGAAGAUUGUUUUACAGAUAAUUCACAUCCUAGAUGCCUUAUCAUGGCAUCCUAAGGCCUGUUAGAGAUAGAAGUUUAGGGAAAAACUUGGGUUGCCUGUACCUUUACAAUGUGAAGGAAGCAGGAAAAUAAACAUAGGCAAUCUGCCCUCCAUGCCCCUGAAUCCAUCAGCAGAGCAAAGAGACUCCUUUCUCUUGUCACUAUGGGAGAUAAGGCAUUCUAGAUCGAUAUUUGACCCAAGGUCAUUAAAAACAUAAUAAUGGGGCUGCACCCCAACAUGUUUUUCCGCCUAUCAGUGCUUCUUGUCUACCACAGAUGCUGGCUCCUCAUCCUGCAAAGUCCCACCUGUUUCAUAAAGGUUGGCCAACCUGUCAUAAGCAAUGGCUGCUUAGCCACUUGGGGAACAAAUGUUCUGUUUGUGCUGUAAUCAUGGGGAGCCUGCAUGGAGGUGGUGUCUGCCUCCAACCAGCUAACAAAGUGGUCCCUGAGGGUGGGGCCAGUUCGGGCAGGGUGUUUUAAGAAAGCCAGUGACUGGCUAGCCAGGGCUUGGCAUGAGGGGAUGCUUCUCAAGGAGCUAGUUUUCACUUGUACCAUAAUAUAUAGAAGGGUUUGUUCAUUUAUUCCCUUACUCACCCUUUCGGAGGAGUUGCAAGCUUAAAUUCCAGCAGGGAAUGGAUGUAAUAUAUGAAGCGUGGUGAAUGACGAGAGGGAGAAAAGAUUGGAUUGAGACUCAAGCUUACUUGGUACAUCGGUCAAGAAGCAGCAACCCCUCAUGUUAGACAAGGAGAACACCAAGCCCUGGCUGUGAGUGCCAGCAAAUGAGCUCAUAGCAACCCCAAGGCCAAAGUGAUACACUCAUCACAAUUGCCAUUGCUUAUUGUGCCGUGGGUUAUCCAAUACUUGUCUCUCCAGCUCACCUGUAAACUCCACGAGAGCAGGGACCAUGUCGGUCUUGUUCAUCCCAGGAUCCUGAGUGACUCACACUGCAACAAACACUUAGUAAAUACUCGAAAUUAGUAUUUGAUGAGUGAAUAUUGAUGAACAUGGGACAGUGAGCUUCUUGUGUGUGUGUGUUUCAUGCCUCACUUAGGUUUGUAUUCCAGGGCCUAUAAAAGUGCUUUGCACCUAGUCGGUGCUCAAUAAAUAUUUGUGUAAUGGGUUGUGAUGGUUAAUUUUAUGUGUCAACUUGACUGGGCUAUGGGAUGCCCAGCUGGUUAAAUAUUAUUUCUGGUUGUGUCUUGAGGGUGUUUCUGUAAGAGGUUAGCAUUUGAAUUGGUGAACAGAGUAAAGCAGGUGGCCCUCACCAAUGUGUGUGGGCACUGUCUUCGGUUGAGGGCCUGAAUAGAAUAAAAAGGUGGAGGAAGGUUGAAUUAACUGACUGUGUGAGCUGGGACAUUGAUCUCCUCCUGCCCUUGGCACUCCUACUUCUCAGGCCUUUGGACCUGGACUGGAGUCUAUACCAUCAGCUCUCUGGCUCUGGGGCCUUUGAACUACACCAC